CUCUCUCUCUCAGUAGUGCUCCUCGGAGUGGGCGGGGUCACAGAAGAAACGAGAGCUGCGUUUGGCCGAUCGGGCUGUGAAGGGGACGGUCUUCAAAGCUGCAGGAUGGACUCAUCGUCAAUGUCAUUAAAGACGGUCCCAUUGAUCUGACUCGGCUUCAAGGCGACCCAGUUCAACACUGGCAUCCUGAACUUGGUCUGGAUUGGCUUCUUUAUCUUCACCGCUACACAGCAGAGGGAACGACAGUAUCUAAAGCAGCCUGCUGAUUGGUGGAGCUGAAACUCACCUGUGCCUGGCAUUGGUGGUGGGGGCGGGGGAGGUGGCGGGGCUGGCAUUCCUGGAGCUCCGCCCAUCCCUGGUCCCAUGCUGUGGUAGGCUACGGUCUCAGGACUGAGGGAAUCAAUCAGGUGAGCCAUCACUUAAUGGUUUCUGUUCUCCUCCAAGCUAACUCCUGACAUAUUGUUGAUAAUAUUAACCAUAUAUUAAUAUUAACAGUGUUCAGCAGACAGACACAGACUAACACCACGUUGUGUUAAUAAUUACUGCUGGUGAACCUCAGGGCUCCAUUAUAGUUUUCAUUUAUAAAUUCAUCUGUAGGUAGUUCACCUGAAAAACCCCAAACAAAAAUUAUUCACACGUUUCAGAUGUGACAUCUUAAAGGUUCGUUAUGUUUUAGUAAAAGUUUUUUUUUUUUUUUUGGCCACUUGGGGGAAGCAGUGCAAUAAAAAUAUCUGCUCCAUUGUGUUCUCCAGCUAGUAACUGUGACUGCUGUCAGCAGGUAGUCUACACUGGUGUCUCUCACCUGGGGGACAAGUUAGGACAGGGGGGAGGUGAGGGGGAGGCAGAGUCAGCCACCCCCCCAUCCCCCUCUCCUCUCUGUGGUUGUGGUGCUCCAGGUCCUCCGGCCUGCUGGGCCUCCUGAGCCUGACGCUCCAGACGACUCUGACGCCGGAUUGUCUGGUCCUUCUCCCGAACCAUCCGCCGCAAGGUGUGCACCUGAGAGUUAGCACUCGCAUACACCUCCUGCACAGAUCCUUGUUUGUUUGCAUCAGUUGUUUCUCCAGUUCGACGAUCUUCAACAUCGCUUCGUUCUCCACGUCCAGCAGACGCUCCGACAUCUGUACACAGAGAGACAGGCUCUCCUCCAGCUCUUCGACUCGUUCCAGAGCGGCAGUUUUGGUCUCUGCGUCCUCCAGCAGCGUCCCAACAUCAAACACGUUGUCCAGACAAGCCGCGAGUUCUUCAGAGUUCGACGACUCGGCAGAGUGUUGGAUCGAGUCACCAGAGUGGAACUACGGACACAGAGAGACGUCCUCAGAGGGUCAGAGUGGACUUUAUCUGAUGAGUGGAUCCUUUUAUUUUUACAUUUGUUACCUGAUGGAAUGGCGUGCUGCGCGGGGUACGGAGGACGAUGGGGACGGGAGGCUACAGUCGCCAUGGAGAUCCUCUAUGGACCGACUCCACGGAGAGUCUAUGGACGAGACCUCGCCUCCGGUCUCUGACUGCUCGCCAUCAAAUCUGAACACACAAACAACAGCUUAAAGGGUUCAUAACAUAUAUAAUGAUUUAUAGAGAAUAUAAUGAAAGAUAAUAUACUGUUAUACAUACAUAUAUAUGUAUAUACUGUACACAGUGAGACUUACGUGACGGCGUACUGAGCGAAGGACAAAUACUCGACCAGAACAUCCAGACCUCGAUUCUCCUCAUUCAGAAAUUCUCUGACCCACCUAUAGAGAGACAGACAGGUCAGAUAGACAGACAUGUAGGAAUGUUAAUUAAUCUUUAUGUCAUCACAAACAAGAUUUCUUCAUGUGAAUAAAGGACAUCAGAGGUCCAAUUUAUAAUCAUUUAUUAAUAAUAACAAAAACAGGUGGUCAGACAGACGGCGGUCAGAUAGACAGGUGGUUAGACAGACCCGAUGUGGUUUGUGCGAAGUGAAAUCUCGAGCUCUCUGAGCAUCUGAGUUGACUCCUGAACUCUUCUUCUGAACUUCUGCAGACAGACAGACACGUUUUUUUAAAAACAACUGUUCAAAUACAAAAAUACUGUGACAAUCCAUUAAAGUGUGACAUCAUAGCUGA